rnacentral:rRNA from 1 species
UUUAUGGAGAGUUUGAUCCUGGCUCAGGACGAACGCUGGCGGCGUGCCUAACACAUGCAAGUCGAACGGAGAUUUCAGCAAUGGAAUUUUAGUGGCGAACGGGUGAGUAACGCGUAGACAACCUACCUUCUAGCUGGGGACAACACUGCGAAAGUGGUGCUAAUACCGAAUGUUGUAUUUUGAGUGCAUACUUAAGAUACUAAAGGUGGCCUCUAUUUAUAAGCUAUCACUAGAAGAUGGGUCUGCGUCUGAUUAGCUAGUUGGUGAGGUAAUGGCUCACCAAGGCGACGAUCAGUAGCCGGUCUGAGAGGAUGAACGGCCACACUGG